rnacentral:rRNA from 1 species
AUGUCUGUGCAGUGCACCGCAAACUUACUCCGGGCUCUUGCUGCCCUCCCGGCGCCAUUCCCCUCUCGCCGCUUGGCGAGAAAUGAAUUCCUUGUACCAUGCCGCCCGAGUCGCACCGGUGCGCUGGUCCGAGCUGCGGAUUCUUCGCCUCCUGCCGCACCCGCGUCAUCGUCCGGAGCAGCCGACGACAAGGCCGUCAUCCCCGACGAUGAGUUCACCCUCGCCAAGGUGNNNNNNNNNNUGAUUGGACUAGGGAUAGGUGGCUCCCUCUUGUCGUAUGGAUUUGGGGCGUAUUUCAAUCUUCUCCCUGGUUCGGAGUGGUCUGCUCUGAUGCUAACCUAUGGAUUUCCUCUCACAAUCAUAGGCAUGGCCUUAAAGUAUGCUGAACUGAAACCAGUGCCCUGCAUAACCUACUCUGAUGCUUUCGCUCUAAGAGAGAAGUGUGCUACCCCUAUCCUCAAGCAGGUCAGGAGUGAUGUUACACGUUAUAGAUAUGGUGAUGAGCAGCAUCUCGAUGAAGCUCUAAAGCGGAUCUUUCAAUAUGGUUUGGGUGGCGGCAUUCCAAGACGUAGUGCACCUAUAUUACAAAAGAUUCAAGAAGUAACUGAUGAUGGGAAAUACUGUUUAGUACUGGAAUUCGAAGCCAAAUCGUUGGAGCUAUCAGAUUUUGAGAAGAGGCAGGCAAAAUUCACCUCCUUUUUCGGUCCUGGAAUUAAGGCUGAAAUUGGAAAAGGUGGUGACGAUCUAUAUGAAGUGCGUCUUAUCUCGGAGACCACAGAGGAAGAGUGA